rnacentral:misc_RNA from 1 species
GAUGAAGAACGCAGCGAAAGGCGAUACGUAAUGUGAAUUGCAAAUUCAGUGAAUCAUCGAGUCUUUGAACGCACAUUGCGCCCCCUGGUAUUCCGGGGGGCAUGCCUGUCCGAGCGUCAUUGCUGCCCUCAAGCACGGCUUGUGUGUUGGGCCCCGUCCUCCGAUCCCGGGGGACGGGCCCGAAAGGCAGCGGCGGCACCGCGUCCGGUCCUCGAGCGUAUGGGGCUUUGUCACCCGCUCUGUAGGCCCGGCCGGCGCUUGCCGAUCAACCCAAAUUUUUAUCCAGGUUGACCUCGGAUCAGGUAGGGAUACCCGCUGAACUUAAGCAUAUCAUAAGCGGAGGA